rnacentral:rRNA from 1 species
UACGGGAGGGUGCGAGCGUUGUCCGGAAUCAUUGGGCGUAAAGAGCUCGUAGGCGGCUUGUCGCGUCGUCCGUGAAAACCUGCAGCUCAACUGCAGGCUUGCGGUCGAUACGGGCAGGCUAGAGUUCGGUAGGGGAGACUGGAAUUCCUGGUGUAGCGGUGAAAUGCGCAGAUAUCAGGAGGAACACCGGUGGCGAAGGCGGGUCUCUGGGCCGAUACUGACGCUGAGGAGCGAAAGCGUGGGGAGCGAACAGG